UGUGCAAUGAAAGAGUUGAUAUGGAGUUGAGAUUUGUGCGUGAAGAAAAUGGAGUGAAAUGAGGCUCAUAAGAAGAAAAAAAUUAUAUAUAUAUAUAUAUGUGUGUGUGUGUGUGUGUGUGUGUGUGUGGGGGGGGGGGGGGGGGGGCUUGAUCUAUGGCUCAUCGCAAAAAGAGUCCGAGCUGGAAUGAGCCAAGUUCGUAAGCAACUCGGCUUGUUUACCACCCUACUUUCACACAA
rnacentral:sRNA from 1 species